CCUACGGGCGGCAGCAGUGGGGAAUAUUGGACAAUGGGCGAAAGCCUGUUCCAGCCAUGCCGCGUGUGUGAAGAAGGCCUUCGGGUUGUAAAGCACUUUCAGUGGGGAAGAAAGCCUUGGGGCUAAUACCCUCGAGGAAGGACAUCACCCACAGAAGAAGCACCGGCUAACUCCGUGCCAGCAGCCGCGGUAAUACGGAGGGUGCGAGCGUUAAUCGGAAUUACUGGGCGUAAAGCGCGCGUAGGCGGUCUGAUAAGCCGGUUGUGAAAGCCCCGGGCUCAACCUGGGAACGGCAUCCGGAACUGUCAGGCUAGAGUGCAGGAGAGGAAGGUAGAAUUCCCGGUGUAGCGGUGAAAUGCGUAGAGAUCGGGAGGAAUACCAGUGGCGAAGGCGGCCUUCUGGACUGACACUGACGCUGAGGUGCGAAAGCGUGGGUAGCAAACAGGAUUAGAUACCCGUGUAGUC
rnacentral:rRNA from 1 species